rnacentral:snRNA from 1 species
AUACUUACCUGGCAGGGGAGAUACCAUGAUCACGAAGUGGUUUUCCAGGGCGAGGCUUAUUCCAUUGCACUCGCGGAUGUGCUGACCCCCUGCGAUUCCCCAAAUGUGGGAAACUCGACUGCAUAAUUGUGGUAGUGGGGGACUGCGUUCGCCGCUCUCCCCUG